rnacentral:rRNA from 1 species
UACGUAGGGUGCGAGCGUUAAUCGGAAUUACUGGGCGUAAAGCGUGCGCAGGCGGUUUUGUAAGCCAGAUGUGAAAUCCCCGGGCUCAACCUGGGAAUGGCAUUUGGGACUGCAAGGCUGGAGUGUGGCAGAGGAGACUGGAAUUCCUGGUGUAGCAGUGAAAUGCGUAGAUAUCAGGAGGAAUACCGAUGGCGAAGGCAGGUCUCUGGGCUGACACUGACACUCAUGCACGAAAGCGUGGGGAGCAAACAGG